AUGUAAUUUCCUGAUUAGAAUUUGCCGAAAUUUUUGGGCUCAUUUUUAUGAAUUUUUCAGUCCUUUCAGCUAUGUAUACCAGUAGUAUAGUGUCUGUAUAUCAUCACCCUUUUCUGCUGCAUUUCUGUAUAUUUUGGCGUAUAUCAGUGACUUUCUUCUUUGAGUUUCCAGAAUAUUUGUUUCAGAACCCAUACAGUUGCUUUCUAAAUCUGCAUAUCGUCUAUAUAUUACUGUAUACUUGAUGUAUACCAAUAUAUACCAGUCUUGUUCCUCAAAAAUCAAUCCGCUUUGGGACCUUAGCAUCUUGUUCCUCAAAAAUCAGUCCGCUUUGGGACCUUAGCAUAAUGUCUUGAUUAUAAAAUUAGGACAUGGAGGAUGCGGGUUGAACGAUGAACUCCAAGGAGCUCGUCUUAAUGAGUUCAUGUAAAGAAGAAAAAGAGAAAAAAUGAAUUAGAUGAAGUGAUUUUGGAUGGUAUGAUGCAUCCAAGACAAACAACUGCAAAUUUAUGUCUCCAAAAAAUUUUUAACCUUCUAAAAAUGGAGACAAAUUAUUCAAGAUUACUACUACUACUAAUCGUAAUGAGAAUGAAAACUUGAAACUUUUCAAGGACCUGCUAAGGUAUAGUAAACAAAAGCACUUCACAAUUUCAAAGUAUCCUAAUAGUUCAAAAAAUAUUAUAUUUAACUAUCAACUAGCGAUUUUCUAAAGAAAAGACAUAACCUUUUUAGCGCAAAGAAGUGACAACUCCAAUUGAUUUCAAAGUUUCUAAGGCAUUAGCAUCUAUCAAAUAAUGUCAUAUGGUCAAGAAUUUCUAAGCUGGAGCAGGCAUAAAACUCAAGAGAAAUUAUGAUUAUAUGUUAGUCUAUGUGAUUCAUAACAGAGACUUGUGAUAUAUUCACCCUUCUCCUAAUCCAAACACGUCCGGCAAAGAACUAGGUGGAUAUAUAUAUUUGUACGUAUGGAAUACACACACACACGAAGACACACCAAGUGGAUAUCAAAAAGAGGUCCAAAAUUGGAUUGAUGACCCCCAAGUCAUGAACAAUUCCCAAGAUUCAAAAUUUCAUUAAUAGAUAAUUGACUCUAAAUCACCAUAAAACGUAUAACACUUUCAUGAAUGCAGAAGCCUCACAAUAUCACAAAUAUACACAAAAAUUCUACACUUUCAGUGGGAACAUACAUGGUGCGAACAUAAUAAAAAAGAAGAGAAGAGUUGCUUUAAUUUCGAAAAGAGGCGAACAACUUGAAAAUCAAACAACACAUAACAUCACAACACUGAAACUCGAGUGAAGACGGUGUUAACCAUGAAAAAUCUAACUAUUCAGGCUUCAAUAUGAUCAAACAAAACCCACUGAUUCUUAAACCAUUAAAUUGCACAAACCAGAGCAAAGAAGAAGAUUAACGAAAAGAGUUAGCUUUUCUGGAGCAGGAACCGAGACUACGAGCCUUAAACAAAUGGAAUUCCACUAGAAUUUAUGUUUGUUUCCACCAAAAUUUCUAUUUCGACUCAUCGAAAUUUCAACUUUUCAUCAAAAUUGAUUUUUCAAGUGAGUUUCUUCUUGAAUUCUUCGGUUACAUGGGAUUAGAGGAAUACUCCUCCCGACUCUCCAAUUUUCCCUCAAGGAAUUCUCCUCCUUUCUCCUUAAUCGAUACUCUCUAUUUAUAGAAAAUAAUUUGAUGGUAAUGGGGGAAAAUGAAGGGUAAAUUAAGGAUUUCAAAUUUUGAAAUUGGGGAUAAGAAUAUUAAAUUUUUCAGCAUUGAAAUUAGAUGAAUUUGGCCACAAAGAAGGUCAAAUUCCAAGUGAAUUUUGGGAUAAAACGAAUUCCCUCACCAACCAAUGAGAAUAACACACCAUGGUACCUCUGAGGUACGAAUUUGCAAAUUCAUCGUCGGAUUUUGAGGGGUUGAACGUUGGAGACGAGGAUUUUUUCAGUAUAUUCUUUGAACAUUGGAAUAGGACAUCUUGAUGGAUUCUGAGAAGGAAAUUGAAGGUCGUUGGUUGAAGUUGAUGAAGUGUGGUGGUUUAGGUCUGUUACCGUCUUUUGUUGUACU
rnacentral:lncRNA from 1 species